AGUCGACUUACUUGCUCUGACAUCAGAAAAUAAUACCGAUAAACAACGAACUGCAGAAUUCCAAGUCAAAAUGCAGAUUGAACCUGUUUCGAAAAGUCACUUCAUUUAACUGAAAAAUCCAAGCUUCCUUUUCCCAAAAUUAACGGAACAUUAAAGCAGGUUCAACUAAAAGUGACGGAUUUAAGACUUCUCUUCAAUUUCACGAAAUUAUUUUACAAAAAUAUUUAGCUUUAUACCAGCUGAU
rnacentral:lncRNA from 1 species